CACAGACACAGCCGCUUCAUUCUCUUAAUACUAGGCCUCUGUUAUGCCUUUUAAUUCAGCCACUGGGUUCACUUAUUCCUAGGCCUCUGUUAUGCCUCUUUAUAUAGCAGCUGUAUUUUCUUAUUGCUAGGCGUCUGUUAUGCCUUUUAAUGCCUUUUAUUACUAGGCUUCUGUGUGUUUUAAUUUUGCCACUGGAUCCACUUAUUCCUAGGCCUCUGUUAAGCCUCCUAAUAUAGCAGCUGGAUUUCCUUAUUCCUAGGCCUCUGUUAUGCCUUUUAAUGCCGUUUUAUGAUUUUUAUUACUUUUUUAUCAGGGAUUUGCUUUGCUAAGGAUAAAUCGGAAUCUUAUGCAGUUAUGGAUUCAGAUCCCUAUGCUCCCUGAAAAAAGGUCACACUCUAAGGGAUAUAGGUAAGACAUUCUAAUUUUUUCUGUGGUUCCAAACAAAAGAGUGCCUAUUAAUGAUUGGAAUUCCCUACGAUGAAAGCUCUAUGGGAAGAAAAUCAUCCGGAUCAUACAAGGAAAGUCGCACUAAAGGAUCCUUUGUGAGGCAUAUGACAAGAGAGCCUUGUAAAAGUAAAGUAUCUGCACAGACUGUCUGAAAGUGACUAUAGGCCCAUCUACCCCUGUGCCUUAU